rnacentral:rRNA from 1 species
GAGUUUGAUCCUGGCUCAGAACGAACGCUGGCGGCGUGGAUAAGACAUGCAAGUCGAACGAGACUUUUCGUUGUAGCAAUACGAUGGAAAGUUUAGUGGCGAACGGGUGCUUAACACGUGGGCAACCUGCCAUGAAGUGGGGGAUAGCUCGUCGAAAGGCGAAUUAAUACCGCAUGUGAUUAGAGUGGACAUCCAUUCAAAAUUAAAGUCGGGGCAACCUGACGCUUCUUGUGGGGCCCGCGGCCUAUCAGCUAGUUGGUGAGGUAACGGCCCACCAAGGCUUUGACGGGUAGCUGGUCUGAGAGGACGACCAGCCACACUGGGACUGAGACACGGCCCAGACACCUACGGGUGGCAGCAGUCGAGAAUUUUUGACAAUGGGGGAAACCCUGAUCGAGCGACGCCGCGUGGAGGAUGAAGGUCUUCGGAUUGUAAACUCCUGUCAUUGGGGAACAAUGCACAGAUAUUAACUGUAUUUGUGUUGAUAGUACCCGAAGAGGAAGGGACGGCUAACUCUGUGCCAGCAGCCGCGGUAAUACAGAGGUCCCAAGCGUUGUUCGGAUUCAUUGGGCGUAAAGGGUGCGUAGGCGGCGCGGUAAGUCGGGUGUGAAAUCUCGGGGCUUAACUCCGAAACUGCAUUCGAUACUGCCGUGCUUGAGGACUGGAGAGGAGACUGGAAUUUACGGUGUAGCGGUGAAAUGCGUAGAUAUCGUAAGGAAGACCAGUGGCGAAGGCAGCCCCCUGGGUCGACACUGACGCUCAUGCACGAAAGCGUGGGGAGCAAACAGGAUUAGAUACCCUGGUAGUCCACGCCCUAAACGAUGUCGACUAGGUGUUGGGGAAGGAGACUUCCUUAGUACCGCAGCUAACGCGUGAAGUCGACCGCCUGGGGAGUACGGUCGCAAGAUUAAAACUCAAAGGAAUUGACGGGGACCCGCACAAGCGGUGGAUGAUGUGGAUUAAUUCGAUGCAACGCGAAAAACCUUACCUACCCUUGACAUGCCAGGAAGUCCGCUGAGAGGUGGAUGUGCCCGAAAGGGGACCUGGACACAGGCGCUGCAUGGCUGUCGUCAGCUCGUGUCGUGAGAUGUUGGGUUAAGUCCCGCAACGAGCGCAACCCUUGUCAUUAGUUGCUACAUUUAGUUGGGCACUCUAAUGAGACUGCCGGUGACAAACCGGAGGAAGGUGGGGAUGACGUCAAGUCCUCAUGGCCCUUAUGGGUAGGGCCUCACACGUCAUACAAUGGCGCAUACAGAGGGUUGCCAACCCGCGAGGGGGAGCCAAUCCCAGAAAGUGCGUCGUAGCCCGGAUCGGAGUCUGCAACUCGACUCCGUGAAGUCGGAAUCGCUAGUAAUCGCGGAUCAGCAUGUCGCGGUGAAUACGUUCCCGGGUCUUGUACACAC